GCGCGGCGGGGCGGCCCCCAGGGUCACCGGGCUCGGGGCUUGGCGCGCGACGGAACGCAGAUCGGGGGCGUGGCCCGUGAUCACGGCUGGGGAAGUCGGGGAGGGGACCUUUGGGGGACCAAGGGCCACGUUCGAAUCCCAGCCCAGCCCCCUUCCCCUCUCGGUCUCUUGGUUUACCCUGCGAACGGGGCGUCACCCGCCCACCUAGGGCUGCUGCGCGGCCUGCUCUGCCCGGGCCCAGGGCAGGCAGGUUUGGCGGAGGAGGGAAGGCCAAACGGCCUCCAGGGCCCCGCUGCGCAAACUUGGGUUAUUUUCAGCCACCCAUGCCCUCUCCCGCUUCUCGGAGCUGGAAGGCUGUGAACUGAGGCCUGCGCGACCCCGCCAGUGAUGGGGCUGAGUCCCAGUUUAGACAGGUUGGGAGUAUUUAAAGCGCUUUGCAGUUUGCAAAGUAGAUUCCGGGUCUCUCAGGGAGCGGGUGGUAGUAUUGAUCCCCGAGUCACGGAUGAGAUUGAAACCGGCCCUGGGACCGUGGCGGGUCACCCGGUUGGCCUGGGAUCGCCCCAGAGACCGUUUUAUUUUUAGUCUGGGGCGAAUGGGUGGGUGUACGGGGGUGAGUCACACAGCGCUUCGGGCUUCAGCUACUCCAGGCAUCUGGUCACCUGGCAACUGGGCCCCUGGCACCCACACUCUGGCAGGGCAGAUAGAAGUCCUUGGUGCCCGGGCAGGCUGUGACCUCAUGGUCAUCUGCUCAGGCCUCCUCGGGAAAGUUCUGCCUGGUGUCUAACUGAUGUCCUAAGGUCCCAGCCCUUCUCAGCUCGAGGGCCUGAGGGCAGUGUCCCCCUGGCAGAACGUGAGGAACGUGGACUGGGCCCUAGGAGAUCUUUGCCUCCACUUCCCAAGUGCUGGCCUCCACCCAGCCACACACUUCAAGGCUGCCCACAUCUGUCCCUCAGUGCUGCCUCUGCCAUCUUACAGGUGAGCAAACAGGCUGGGGCCCAGGCCCUCACCUUACUUUCUCUGUUGCUUGGCCUUCCGGCAGCUGAGAAGCAUCACCCACGACUACCUACGCAUUGUCCCAAGACUGAGAGGCCCAGAGAGCCCUCUGCACAGAGGCACUGGGCAGCCCUUUCUGCCCUGCCAAAGGGGCUUCAACCCUGACAAGCACAUCUGCAUUGGCCUGCCUGGGCAGCUUGGGCCGUCUCACUCAGCCUGUGCUCUGACUUGGUAGCUCUACCUCUUGGGGCUACCCUGUCAAGAUUUGGGGGGUAACUGGUCCCAGUGGUCCCCCAGACUGGCUGGGGCCCCAAAUUGUUGGUCUUCUCUGGACUUUGGGCUCUUCUGAAGAGGUUAUCAUAGAGGGCUGCUGUGCCCUCUGGUUAGGAACCUUCAGAUGAGGCUGCUGCUGAGGACCUGGCCACCUGGCACAGAGAGAAUCCGUCAGACUCUGUGGGCGGAUGAGUCUGGAGGCCUUGCAGUCAUGGAUUGGAGACCUUACCACUCACUUGCAGACAAUGGCAGAGUUCUCCCAGAAACGGGGGAAGAGGCGUGGCGACGAGGGGCUGGGCAGCAUGGUGGACUUCCUCCUGGCCAAUGCCCGCCUGGUGCUGGGCGUGGGCGGGGCUGCUGUGCUGGGCAUUGCCACCCUGGCCGUGAAGCGGUUCAUUGACAGGGCCACUAGCCCACGGGAUGAGGAUGACACCAAGGCAGACAGCUGGAAGGAACUGAGCCUGCUCAAGGCCACACCACACCUGCAGCCCCGGCCUCCACCUGCUGCCCUUAGCCAGCCAGUGUUGCCUUUGGCCCCCUCGUCGUCUGCCCCAGAGGGGCCUGCAGAAACUGAUCCUGAGGUGACACCACAGCUCAGCUCCCCAGCACCGCUGUGUCUGACACUGCAGGAGAGGCUGCUGGCCUUCGAGCGGGACCGUGUGACCAUCCCAACAGCCCAGGUGGCUUUGGCCAAACAGCUGGCUGGCGACAUUGCCCUGGAGCUGCAGGCCUACUUUCGGAGCAAGUUCCCGGAACUGCCCUUUGGGGCAUUCGUGCCUGGGGGGCCGCUCUACGAUGGGCUGCAGGCGGGGGCCGCGGACCAUGUGCGUCUCCUGGUGCCACUGGUGCUGGAGCCGGGCCUGUGGAGCCUGGUGCCGGGUGUGGACACUGUGGCGAGGGACCCUCGCUGCUGGGCCGUGCGCAGGACUCAGCUUGAGUUCUGCCCCCGCGGGAGCAGCCCUUGGGACCGCUUCCUGGUCGGGGGCUACCUCUCCUCCCGCGUCCUGCUGGAGCUACUCCGCAAGGCGCUGGCUGCCUCUGUCAACUGGCCGGCCAUUGGCAGCCUUCUCGGGUGCCUGAUCCGGCCCAGCAUGGCCUCAGAGGAGCUGCUGCUCGAGGUGCAGCACGAGCACCUGGAGCUCACUGUGGCUGUGCUUGUGGUAGUCCCUGGGGUCGAUGCUGACGACCACCUCCUCUUGGCAUGGCCCCUGGAGGGGCUGGCGGGGAACCUCUGGCUGCAGGACCUGUAUCCAGUGGAGGCUGCUAGGCUGCGAGCCCUGGACGACCAUGACGCUGGGACUCGCCGGCGGCUGCUGCUGCUGCUGUGUGCUGUCUGCCGUGGCUGCUCGGCCCUGGGGCAGCUAGGCCGGGGUCACCUGACCCAGGUGGUCCUGCGUCUGGGGGAGGACAAUGUGGAUUGGACGGAGGAGGCCUUGGGUGAGCGCUUCCUGCAAGCCCUGGAGCUGCUCAUCGGCAGCCUGGAGCAGGCCAGCCUGCCCUGCCACUUCAACCCCAGCGUGAACCUCUUCAGCAGCUUGCGUGAGGAGGAGAUUGACGACAUUGGCUAUGCGCUGUACAGUGGCCUACAGGAGCCCGAGGGGCUGCUCUAGGUGGGUGGGAACGGGUGGCUGGCAUGUUUUCUAAUGCUGGGGAGCUGUGCCCACCUCCCUUCCAGGGAUUUGAAUAGUGAUUUUUCUCUAGCUUUUAGCCAGAACAAAAGAAGGUACAUUACUUAAACCCAGGGCAUCGGGAUGUGCUUGGGCUAUAGUGGCCAUAAACCCUGAGCCCAGAGAGCUUGGGUCACUGUCACCUGAGUGCAGCUGGGCUGCCUCAGGCAGCUUGGAGUGCCAGCCAUUCCUGCAAGCACCCUUUCAGCCCUUGGGGCCAACCCAAGGACCUUGGCUCUGUCCAUCACCAGCAACCAAUCCACCAACAGAAUGUGGUUUCUGCCAUCCUGGGCAGAAGCUGAAGGCCAGCUUCACAUUUCUGCUGAGAGAAGGUGACCUAAUGCCUUUUCCGGCCCCAGCUCCAGGCGUUUUGAGGCGUCUGGUGCCUGGUGAUAGGUAUGGUGUGUUUGUUCUGUCCCCCAGGGGCUGGAGUCACCUGUUGCCCCUGAAGGACAGCUUUUUGGCUGUUAAAGGAUGGCGUUUUCCUGCUGUCUUCUGUGUGUUUGGUUUUCUUGCUGAGCAGGAGCUCAGUGUGACUUGCCACCCACUUGAUACCUCAGGACAAGGCCUUUUCCCUCCAGCCAGGCCUCACUGGAGAGCAGAGGACCUGAUCCCCCACCAGAGAGGUCCAGUGCGCACAGCCAGCCUCCCAGUGUGCCAAAAUGAAGUGCUCUCAGCUGAUGGCUGUAUUCUGACUUUGAAGCCUGUUAAGAGGUAGCAAGGGGGCUAGAGGAGGGAGAUUCCACCUCCCCUCCCAAGUGACCCUCCUCUUGCCUCUGGUAUCCUUCCUGCUGAAACGAAGCUCUGCUUCGAAGAUGUGAACAAGAAUAAAAGGAAAAAGUUCUAACGUGUAA